rnacentral:rRNA from 1 species
UACGUAGGGGGCUAGCGUUGUUCGGAAUCACUGGGCGUAAAGCGCACGUAGGCGGCUUUUUAAGUCAGGGGUGAAAUCCUGGAGCUCAACUCCAGAACUGCCUUUGAUACUGAGAAGCUUGAGUCCGGGAGAGGUGAGUGGAACUGCGAGUGUAGAGGUGAAAUUCGUAGAUAUUCGCAAGAACACCAGUGGCGAAGGCGGCACACUGGCCCGGUACUGACGCUGAGGUGCGAAAGCGUGGGGAGCAAACAGG